rnacentral:rRNA from 1 species
CAGUAGCCGCGGUAAUACGAAGGGGGCUAGCGUUGUUCGGAUUUACUGGGCGUAAAGGGCGCGUAGGCGGACUGAUAAGUCAGGGGUGAAAUCCCAAGGCUCAACCUUGGAACUGCCUUUGAUACUGUUUAUCUUGAGUUCGAGAGAGGUAAGUGGAACUGCGAGUGUAGAGGUGAAAUUCGUAGAUAUUCGCAAGAACACCAGUGGCGAAGGCGGCUUACUGGCUCGAAACUGACGCUGAGGCGCGAAAGCGUGGGGAGCAAACAGGAUUAGAUACCCCUGUAGUCCCUGUCUCUUAUAC